UAAUACCGGAUGCUUGAUUGAACCGCAUGGUUCAAUUAUAAAAGGUGGCUUUUAGCUACCACUUACUGAUGGACCCGCGGCGCAUUAGCUAGUUGGUGAGGUAACGGGUCACCAAGGCAACGAUGCGUACCCAACCUGAGAGGGUGAUCGGCCACACUGGGACUGAAACACGGCCCAAACUCCUACGGGAGGCAGCAGUAGGGAAUCUUCCGCAAUGGACAAAAGUCUGACGGACCACCGCCGCGGGAGUGAUGAAGGUUUUCGGAUAGUAAAACUCUGUUGUUAGGGAAAAACAAGUACCGUUCGAAUAGGGCGGUACCUUGACGGUACCUAACCAAAAAGCCACGGCUAACUACGUGCCAGCAGCCGCGGUAAUACGUAGGUGGCAAGCGUUGUCCGGAAUUAUUGGGCGUAAAGCGCGCGCAGGCGGUUUCUUAAGUCUGAUGUGAAAGCCCCCGGCUCACCCGGGGAGGGUCAUUGGAAACUGGGGAACUUGAGUGCAAAAAAGGAGAGUGGAAUUCCACGUGUAGCGGUGAAAUGCGUAAAGAUGUGGAGGACCACCAGUGGCGAAGGCGACUCUCUGGUCUGUAACUGACGCUGAGGCGCGAAAGCGUGGGGAGCGAACAGGAUUAGAUAGCCUGGUAGUCCACGCCGUAAACGAUGAGUGCUAAGUGUUAGAGGGUUUCCGCCCUUUUAGUGCUGCAGCAAACGCAUUAAGCACUCCGCCUGGGGAGUACGGUCGCAAGACUGAAACUCAAAGGAAUUGACGGGGGGCCCGCACAAGCGGUGGAGCAUGUGGA
rnacentral:rRNA from 1 species